CUGCUUCUACUUUCUGUAUGGAGCUGGGAGCGUCUGCCUGUUGGACGCCCGAAGAGCGUCAAGUUUAAUCCUUGGGAUGAAGAUGACGAAUUACAGCGCCCCACUUGGGCUUACAAGUGGGAUGUGGUUUCUGAGAUGACAAAUGAUGUCAAUCUCAUGUACCAAAAGUACAUUGCCGAGUUGGACACAAUUACGCCUGAGCAGGUAACGAGGACAUUACUUCAAUUAUUUCUCAUGCUUACCUGA
rnacentral:rRNA from 1 species